UACGUAGGUGGCAAGCGUUGUCCGGAUUUACUGGGCGUAAAGAGCGCGCAGGCGGUCGACCAAGUCGCGUGUGAAAGCCCCCGGCUCAACUGGGGAGGGUCACGCGAUACUGUACACUCGAAGGCAGGAGAGGGUAGUGGAAUUCCCGGUGUAGUGGUGAAAUGCGUAGAUAUCGGGAGGAACACCAGUGGCGAAGGCGACUUCCUGGCCUGUUCUUGACGCUGAGGCGCGAAAGCUAGGGUAGCAAACGGG
rnacentral:rRNA from 1 species